UCAGUUGUUCGCUCUGUACUUCGGAUAGUCCAAUUCUCCAUCAUGCAACGGAUUAGCUUGACUUAAAACUGUGUUUCCGGCUGUGGGACCAAUCAUAAUGCCCUCGUCUGCCCACAACUUAUGGUCCCCCGUAGCGUAGGGGAUUAAUGCAUUAUAAUUGGUCCCACAGCCCGAAACACAGAUAUAUCGGAUUCCAGCCCGAAUCAACCCUUCUCCUCUAGCUCUAGGUUCUACUUGAAAGAGGCCCGCUCUGCUCUGCUCUCUCCUGAACGCCAUUCAAACCCUCUCCACUUCUAAUGGCACCAAAACUUCCUUCCAUCUCCGAAUCCUCUAUUGUCCUCCGAAAUGAUUUUCUCUCCUGAUUAUGCUUUCAUUCGAUUUCGAUCCGGUUCCGGCCAGCCGCCUCUGGCUCCUCAGUCCUCCCAUGCCACUUUUCAUCACUGACGUUGUCCGAGGACCAUCUAAUUCUCUUCAGACAAUUUCGCUCUGUCGCCAGGCAUUUGGUUAACAAAUGUCCUUAUGGUUCACCAUUUCAUCGUCUGUAACUUGUUACCAUUUCGUAAAAGCAGGGCAUCCGAACCGCAAGACCCCAUCAUCCGAGUUGGUCCCAACUUUGGCCGUCUUUACUUCCAUCUUCUCUCUGUACUUUUUAUUGUUUGUCAUUCAAGGGAAUUUUAUAUGCAACAAGAUCAUCUAUGUAGGAUGCUUGAAAUUUAGCUAAUUUUCAAUCUUUUAAUUCCUCGGAAAUAGCUACUUUCCUCGAGGAAAGCAAAAUAAUUAAUUCCGAAGCUUUGGUGUUCCCCAGACAUUAGGUUUGUAACAGAACUGUGAGCUAUUUUUUGAUAUAUAACAGAACUGUAAACUAUUGGGAUAAAACCUGAAAAUAUGUACACUGAACUAGGAAGAAUGAACUCCAAUGCAUUUUCAUUUCUAUAGCCUAAUAAAUCUGUAGUUUCAGUGUCUACUA